rnacentral:rRNA from 1 species
UGCCAGCAGCCGCGGUAAUACGUAGGUGGCAAGCGUUAUCCGGAAUUAUUGGGCGUAAAGGGAGCGUAGGCGGAUAUUUAAGUGGGAUGUGAAAUACAUGAGCUCAACUCAUGUGCUGCAUUCCAAACUGGAUAUCUAGAGUGCAGGGGAGGAGAGUGGAAUUCCUAGUGUAGCGGUGAAAUGCGUAGAGAUUAGGAAGAACACCAGUGGCGAAGGCGACUCUCUGGACUGUAACUGACGCUGAGGCUCGAAAGCGUGGGGAGCGAACAGGAUUAGAUA